CAAUGUAUGGAAACGCAUUUACCCUCUAGCAUUUUUAUGACUCUGCCCAACUCGAAUAAAAUGAAUCUCAAACUGCAAACCAAUUAAAUGAAAGAGCAGAGAAGUUAAAAAAUUGGUUGUGCUGGGCAGAGAAGAACAAUCUCUUUGUGAAACUGUGGUCUUUAAACAGAGACUCAGUCCAGUCCUACAAAACAAGUAAAAUAGUAGGCUUUCCAACAAUAGGUCAGACUGGGAGAUAGGAUACUAAUGGGUCAGUUCUGUUUUGAGCACCGAAUACUGAGCUUUCAGUGAAACAGUGUAUGGCUGGUGGUGAGUGGACUUCCCCUGGCAUGUUUACAAUAUGUUGUAUUUUUGUUAUGUACUAUCCUGAUUAGAUAUUUGAUUAAAUGGUUUCCCUGAAUAUCAUCACAAAAAUUAGCCCUAACAUAAUUUGGUAGUCUAUAUAACUUGACUUAAUCAAAUUAGUGCAAAUUUGCCUGAUCAUGCUAAUAGUCCAUCCAUACUCAGAAAUUCCUCAGUGAAUUUUAGAGAGAGCUUAAGAUGAUUACAGUUGCAUCCAUCGAAGCUGUGUGCACCAUAAUACUUCAUUCUUUGUACCUGGAACCUGUUGUACACAAAGGAAGUGGCUUCCUGUUCAAAGAUAAUAUCUGGUUAUUAUAUUUAUUGGUUCCUCCUAACCCCAAAUAGGUAGAAGAAAUCUAAAAUGCAAGCUCAGGUCUUAGGAGGUUAAUUAUUUCUGUGGGAAUCGGCUGGGCCUCUAUUUUCCACACUGAAGGUGCCAUCUCUAGCCAGAAGUUUCCCACAAAUCUUUAAGCUCUGGUGUUUGCGAGUACAUUUAGUGCCUAAUGUGCCAAAAUGUGUGAAAUACAUUUUCAUUACAUUUCUGGCAUUUGGCAAACACACUCAUCCAGACGUACAAAAGUGCUUAGAAGUCUCUAUCAAUGAAUACAUUAACACUGGUUCAAUAGGUCACAGACUUAGGAUAUCAUCAGCUUAAAAACUGUGUUGUUUUAUUGGCAAAUACAUCAGCGUUAAUACAGUAAAUAUAUAAACAAUACAAAAAUCACAUCUAGACCUACAUACAGCUGUGUGAUUGACAAGACUGCUAGAAUAGGAAAAGGCUUGUGUGUUAAACUUUUUUGACCUGGAGUAUGAAUGAAUCGUGCAAAUACCAUCAUUUUAUUCAUGGUACUUUUAUAUUGUUGAAUGUUUUAAUCGGUUGAAAAUGGAACCUGAUGGCACAUCUUCGUAUUUAUUUGCAGUAUCGGAAAACGUAUCAUCCACCAUACUGGAAUCCUAUUGAAUAUGAAUUAUGUAAUUCGACCACGAAGUAGAUGAAAUACAUUUCAUUAUUUCUUAAGCACCGGUGUCUCAAAUGUAUCAUAUGGGGUACAAAUUGCUUUUAACCAUAGAUAGCUUUUAACAAUGGCACAAAGUAGCUAUAGGAAAAAAUCCAGCUGUAGAUUUAUAUUCCUGAUGAGUAAGGUUGUGCCUAGAUGUCAGAGGAGCCAAACUCAAAUGGGAUCCCACCAUUUUCUAUGUAAAACUAGGUAUCCAUUACAGGAUCCAGCCACAUAGAGUAAAAUAAAACCAUGUACUAAAUUGCAUGAAUAAUCAGGGUCAGACAUGCAUAUUAAUGAAAGACAUUACAGAAUGUGGAUUUGUUGAACAACAUUUUUGAUUUGUUCAUGUUUUUUUUUAGUUCCUCCUGUUGUCAGUGUGAGCACUGAUGUUCCUGCUGUUGCUGGUGACAUUGAUGUGGUUUUAGCAACCUGCACUGCCGCCAAUGCAAAGCCUGCAUCAGAAUUGUCUUGGAGUCUGGGUGUUUUAAACAAAUCGGUGAAGGUACAAAAUUCUGUCACUGUGGCCUCUGAAGGAAGAUACACUGUUAAAAGCGGCCUGAUUAGAAAUGCAACCAAAGAUCUAAACCAGAAGAAGGUUCAGUGUGUAGUUACACACCCUGGUCUGAAGGAGAAACUGAAACUGAGCUACACUUUGAAUGUUCACUAUCCUCCUCAGGUGGUUUAUAUUAUUUCGGCAGGUGAUCAAGGGGAAACUCGUGAAUUUCAGUGUGAAGCAGAUGCUAAUCCAAAACCUACAAACUUCACGUGGAGCAGCUUCAGAAUCCAAAACCUGCUGGACCCUGUACAUCAUAACCCUCAUCGCUGGGGUUUGCUGUUUUCUCAUUUGGAAGCUGAAUUUGCUUCAGCAUUUUAUAACAAGGUUUUUUUUGCCUAGAGGCAUUAUAUGAAUGAUUCAAACCUCCCUAUUGGGACCACACCUUGCUGUGGUGGAGGGGCUUAUUCUCCUUCAAGUUCAGGAGAAACCAAAUGGUCCCACAGGUUUUGUAACCUAACGAUCCAGCUGUCCAGCUGUCAUGGGCACGAUACUUCAACAGGACUAUCAGCAACAUAUAAAUGACAGAAUGACACCGAGGCAUCAGAUCCAAGAGGACAUCACUUUUUUUUUUUUUUUUUUUUAAACGUUUUUAGGAUUAUACCUGGAUGCUUAUUACAGACGCUUAUUAACCUCAUUUCAUCACAUCCUAUUCAUCACAUCCAAUCAACACUGAUUUGUGUUGAUGACACCAGUUAGUCCCUUUUCACAGAGAACCCAUCCUCAUUUGGGUGAAACGGGACAGUAAAUAUUGCAAAUGUAAAUGUCUUUCCUACAGCUGUUUGUAGUUUAGUGAAUUGGUGCAAUAGAUACAGUACUGAGUACAUAUAUAUAUACCCCUAAGUGGAAAUGUCCAAACUGGGCCCAAAGUCAAUAUUUUGUGUGGCCACCAUUAUUUUCCAGCACUGCCUUAACCCUCUCGGGCAUGGAGUUCACCAGAGCUUCACAGGUUGCCACUGGAGUCCUCUUCCACUCCUCCAUGAUGACAUCACAGAGCUGGUGGAUGUUAGAGACCUUGCGCUCCCCCACCUUAGGGUUUAGGUCUGGAGACAUGCUUGGCCAGUCCAUCACCUUUACCCUCAGCUUCUUUAGCAAGGCAGUGGUCAUCUUGGCGGUGUGUUUGGGGUCGUUAUCAUGUUGGAAUACUGCCCUGCGGCCCAGUCUCUGAAGGGAGGGGAUCAUGCUCUGCUUCAGUAUGUCACAGUGCAUGUUGGCAUUCAUGGUUCCCUCAAUGAACUGUAGCUCCCCAAUGCCGGCAGCACUCAUGCAGGCCCAGACCAUGACACUCCCACCACCAUGCUUGACUGUAGGCAAGGCACACUUGUCUUUGUACUCUUCGCCUAGUUGCCACCACACACACUUGACACCAUCUGAACCAAAUAAGUUUAUCUUGGUCUUAUCGGACCACAGGACAUGGUUCCAGUAAUCCAUGUCCUUAGUCUGCUUCAGCAAACUGUAUGCAGGCUUUCUUGUGCAUCAUCUUUAGUAGAGGCUUCCUUCUGGGACAACAGCCAUGCAGACCAAUUUGAUGCAGUGUGCGGCAUAUGGUCUGAGCACUGACAGGCUGACCCCUCACCCCUUCAACCUCUGCAGCAAUGCUGGCAGCACUCAUACCCAAAGACGACCUCCGGAUAUGACGCUGAGCACGUGCACUCAACUUCUUCGGUGGACCAUGGCGAGGCCUGUUCUGAGUGGAACCUUUCCUGUUAAACCGCUGUAUGGUCUUGCCCACCAUGCUGCAGCUCAGUUUCAGGGUCUUGGCAAUCUUCUUAUAGCCUAAGCCAUCUUUAUGUAGAGCAACAAUUCUUUUUUUCAGAUCCUCAGAGAGUUCUUUGCCAUGAGGUGCCAUGUUGAACUUCCAGUGACCAGUAUGAGAGAGUGUGAGAGAGAUAACACCAAAUUUAACACACCUGCUCCCCAUUCACACCUGAGACCUUGUAACACUAACGAGUCACAUGACACCGGGGAGGGUAAAUGGCUUAUUGGGCCCAAUUUGGACAUUUCUACUUAGGGGUGUAGUCACUUUUGUUGCCAACGGUUUAGACUUGGCUGUGUGUUGACUGUGUGUUGUCAUUUAUUCAGUGUUGUCACAUGAAAAGAUAUAAUAAAAUAUUUACAAAAAUGUGAGGGGUGUAGACACUUUGUGAGAUACUGUAUAUAUCUUGACAUUUAAUUUAUAAAAAGCAGGUGGUGAUAAAAUAAGAAAAUAUAUAUAUAUACUGUAUAUAUAUAUAUAUAUAUAUAUAUUAUAUACAGUGCUGCUUGAAAGAGUUUGUGAACCCCUUGGGCUGUUCAAGCUUUUCUGUUGUUUUACCUUGAUUUUCUUAUUUUAUCAUCACCUGAUUUUUAUAAAUUAAAUGUCAGAUGUAUGUUGAUCAAUUGCAUAUGUUUAUUUAGAGGGAAUUUUGCGAGUAAAAUACAAGAAAGUUUGAAUUAUUGUUUGUGCAAAAGUAAGUGAAGCCUUUUAUUUAGUAGCUUGUGGCACCUCCUUUUGCAGCCAUUACUUCAACCAAACGUCUUCUGUAACCACUGACCAGUCUCUCACAUCUGUCUUUGGGGAUUUUUGCCCACUCCUUGCAGAACUGGUGAGAGAGUAAGUGGACCGUCUAGUCAGCAUUUGUCAGUGCCACAGUCGACUUGCGUCAUGUUUAAACUUAGGUCAGCCUACACCUGCUAGGGAUCUGUGAUAAAAUUAUACUAGCAUUGGCUCUGUUGCUAGCUUUGUCCUUAAUAAUUAUUUGUUUGUUUGUUUGUUUGUGAGGUUUAAAUCUGAAAUAAAUUACUAUUUUU